rnacentral:rRNA from 1 species
GUCUACGGCCAUACCACCCUGAACGCGCCCGAUCUCGUCUGAUCUUGGAAGAUAAAGCAUGUAAGCUUUGGACAAAUGCUUUAAUCA